rnacentral:rRNA from 1 species
GACGAACGCUGGCGGCGUGCCUAAUACAUGCAAGUGGAACGCAUUGAUAUCACCGGAGCUUGCUCCACCGAUAUAAAUGAGUCGCGAACGGGUGAGUAACGCGUAGGUAACCUGCCUGAUAGCGGGGGAUAACUAUUGGAAACGAUAGCUAAUACCGCAUGAGAGUGUUUAACACAUGUUAGAGACUUAAAAGAUACAAUUGUAUCACUAUCAGAUGGACCUGCGUUGUAUUAGCUAGUUGGUAGGGUAGCGGCCUACCAAGGCAACGAUACAUAGCCGACCUGAGAGGGUGAUCGGCCACACUGGGACUGAGACACGGCCCAGACUCCUACGGGAGGCAGCAGUAGGGAAUCUUCGGCAAUGGACGAAAGUCUGACCGAGCAACGCCGCGUGAGUGAAGAAGGUUUUCGGAUCGUAAAGCUCUGUUGUAGCGGAAGAACGCGUGUAAGAGUGGAAAGUUACACAGUGACGUACGUACCAGAAAGGACG